rnacentral:rRNA from 1 species
AUUGAACGCUGGCGGAAUGCUUUACACAUGCAAGUCGAGCGGCAGGCCGGGGCAACCUGGCGGCGAGCGGCGAACGGGUGAGUAAUACAUCGGAACGUGCCCAGACGUGGGGGAUAACUACUCGAAAGAGUGGCUAAUACCGCAUACGAUCUAAGGAUGAAAGCGGGGGAUCGCAAGACCUCGCGCGUUUGGAGCGGCCGAUGGCAGAUUAGGUAGUUGGUGGGGUAAAGGCUUACCAAGCCCGCGAUCUGUAGCUGGUCUGAGAGGAUGAUCAGCCACACUGGGACUGAGACACGGCCCAGACUCCUACGGGAGGCAGCAGUGGGGAAUUUUGGACAAUGGGCGAAAGCCUGAUCCAGCCAUUCCGCGUGCAGGAUGAAGGCCCUCGGGUUGUAAACUGCUUUUGUACAGAACGAAAAAGCUCUUUCUAAUACAGAGAGUCCAUGACGGUACUGUAAGAAUAAGCACCGGCUAACUACGUG